UGGGGAAUAUUGCACAAUGGGCGCAAGCCUGAUGCAGCCAUGCCGCGUGUAUGAAGAAGGCCUUCGGGUUGUAAAGUACUUUCAGCGGGGAGGAAGGGAGUAAAGUUAAUACCUUUGCUCAUUGACGUUACCCGCAGAAGAAGCACCGGCUAACUCCGUGCCAGCAGCCGCGGUAAUACGGAGGGUGCAAGCGUUAAUCGGAAUUACUGGGCGUAAAGCGCACGCAAGCUGUUUGUUAAGUCAGAUGUGAAAUCCCCGGGCUCAACCUGGGAACUGCAUCUGAUACUGGCAAGCUUGAGUCUCGUAGAGGGGGGUAGAAUUCCAGGUGUAGCGGUGAAAUGCGUAGAGAUCUGGAGGAAUACCGGUGGCGAAGGCGGCCCCCUGGACGAAGACUGACGCUCAGGUGCGAAAGCGUGGGGAGCAAACA
rnacentral:rRNA from 1 species